rnacentral:lncRNA from 1 species
AGGUGGAGAAAAAGUAGCUGUGGGAGCAGAUCUCAGAGGAUUAUUAUGCUUGAUGCUGCUGUUAGAGAUAUUUGCUGUCUUACAGGCAAAGGAGAGAUUGUGGAAAAAGAAUGGGAUAGAGGUAAGGUUAAGAUUUGUCUGUCAUAUCCUCCAUCAGCAGUAACCGCGUUUGGCGCUCUGUGUUAUUGUUCAUUCCUGAAUACAAGUUCACAGAUUUAGCUGGUUGUUACAGGAAGGACCUCACACAAAAUCUUUCCUUUUGGUUGUUCCUGGAGAUCUAGUCUUUUCUCACAGUUUGUCUUCGACACAAGACUGAUGAAUUAGAGACAGAUGAUAGACUCUCUUCUCCAAACUUUUCCUUCCAAUCCAGAACAUGGGAGAGACUGGGGAAUCUUAGAAUCUUAGGGUUGGAGUAGAACCCCACUGAAGAUGUAUGCAAGAAAUGGCACAACGCAUCAGCUUCUCACUGUCCCAGAUACUUCCUUGCAUAUCUUGGCUCCUUGCUUAUAGAUUAAGAAAUAGUAGUAUAGCUAAGACUCCUAUCUUCCUCUAACUGAUAGUGGGUUUGGAGCUUGGGAGACUCAGCGUCUCCCACGGAGCAGUGAAGGAUUCUUGAAAAGAAAUACAAGAAGAAAAAGGAAAAAGGAAGAACAAAAGCAAUAGAAACGGCUAAUUUCUAAUUUAUCUUUGCCAUUUUAAUUUUUAUUUAAUAGUUCAAUCAAUAGUAGGUGUUUGAAGGGAUCCUCUAAAGCCAAAAUCUACGUUAAAAACUAAGACACAAGCACACAGGAAUUUAUUAGCUACAUUGUAAUCUUAUGGGACUACCAUCAUAUGCUGUAUGUGGUUUGUUGCAGACCGAAAUGCCGAUAUGCAGCACAUGACUGUAACUAGAAGAGAAAGUACAUGGUUUUGUUUUUGUUGUUGUUGUUGUUUUUUAAUACAGUCUGACUCUGUCGCCCAGGCUGUAGUGUUGUGGCGGGAUCUCAGUUCACUGCAACCUCCACCUCCUAGGCUCAAGCCAUCCUCCCACCUCAGCCUCCCUAGUAGCUGGGACUACAGGUGCACGCCACUAUGUCCAGCUAAUUUUUGUAUUUUUGGCAGAGACAGGGUUUUGCCCUGUUUCCCAGGCUGGUCUCGAACUCCUGACCUCAAGAGAUCCUCUGUCUCAGCCUUCCAAAAUGUUGGGAUUACAGGCGUGAGCCACCGCACUCAGCCAGUAUAUGGGAUUUGAAGGUGUGUUGCUGGGAGUGGGAUUGGCCUGGUGAGUGACUUCUGGAUCCUUCUCAGCUAGUAUUGAAAAAUGGGAUGCAUUCCUAAGGGCUAUUUUUUAUGUAAUAGUUUCUUUUUUAUUGGCAAAACUGAAUGGGACCAACGACAAGUGUCCAGGUAUUUUAAAUAAACAUUGUGGUAAAAUAAUUUCAUUAAAAUCGAAUGGCAUUUAGAAAUUCAUGAAUGAGAAGCAGAGUUUUUAAUUAUUAGAGCAGCACAUCAAUUCUAGUGAAAAUGUAGGAAAAAGAGAGAGAAAAA